AACCUUAUGGACCUGCGGGCGUAUACCUGCGGAAGGAUCAUUACAGAGUUAUCCAACUCCCAAACCCAUGUGAACUUAUCUCUUUGUUGCCUCGGCGCAAGCUACCCGGGACCCCGCGCCCCGGGCGGCCCGCCGGCGGACAAACCAAAACUCUUGUUAUCUUAGUUGAUUCUCUGAGCGUCUUAUUUAAUAAGUCAAAACUUUCAGCAAUGGAUCU
rnacentral:misc_RNA from 1 species